rnacentral:lncRNA from 1 species
AACGAGCUCGAUUUCCCGUCCCCAGGAGGAUGAGGAAGGGUUAACUGUUCCAGCAAAAAGUAAUUUAGCUCAAACCCUGCCUUCCCUGUGUGUUCCCGUCCCUGGGAUGCUCUCCCUUCUGCUCCUGCUCGAUCUCUGUAGUCUCAGGUCUUCAGUGAGGAGGGAAGGGAGGUGUGGAGGGGGGGGGAGGGAGGAAAAUUGACAGUGAUUCCUUAGUGGCUCAGCUUCUAAAUGGGAUGAAAUUUAAACUCCCUCCACUCCGCUGCGGCGGCGGCGGCGGCGGCAGAGCUGGCUGCGGCGGGGAGCGGCGGCUCCCUCUAGGCAGCGGGGCAGGUGGCCCCCCGACGGGACGAGGGGAGGAUGCUCGGAGGGCUCCGGGCUCAUCCAGGCGACUGAGCGGAGGGGAGAGCUAGAGAGAGGAGGGAGCUUCGCGAGCCCCGGAGCCCGGGAGAGCGGAGCGGGAGAAACCCACCCACAAACCAACUCUUAUCUCCAGAAGACAAUGGAUGUGGGAAGCCAGCCUCAGAAGCACAACUCGCACAGUGCGUGCAUUGGAUCCUGCCAGCUUCCUCAGCACCUGGGUUUUGAGUCUCCUAAGAUCCAUUUGUGGACCCCCAGAGUAUGGAAGGAGGCAAGCUCAGCCCAGCUUUGAGUCGAUGCUCCUUAGAAGCAGAAACAUGUCAAGGUUGGCGAGCUGCUACAUUUCUCCUACAAUGUCAAGAUAGAGGGAUAAAAAGUAUGGCAGAGGAUCCAGGGACAAAGAAGAGGAACAAGGGGGCAAUUUAGUGUGAGGAGCCUUUGAGUCCUAGUUAGGACUCAUUAUGACCCUUUCCCUUAACUCAUCACCCUGCCUAGUGCCCCACUGACUUUUAGCAUGCUCUCUUAGCUUGACGGGGGUAUAUUACCCUGUCUGCUAAUCCCUGUUGGUGGCCCGAACCAGAUUAAUUUGUACUUGGGAAAUACUUAACAAAAUAAAUAAAAAUCCAAUGCAACCUGAUUAGUCUGUGGUGUUCUAAGUCAAUUUGAGACCUGCAAAAAUCCAUUUUUAUUUGAGUUUGGUAACACAGAUUUGGGUGACCUCCAUUGAAAGAGGU